rnacentral:rRNA from 1 species
GUGAGGAAUUUUCCGCAAUGGGCGAAAGCCUGACGGAGCAAUGCCGCGUGAAGGAUGAAGGCCUAUGGGUUGUAAACUUCUUUUCUCAGAAAAGAAUUAUGACGGUAUCUGAGGAAUAAGCAUCGGCUAACUCUGUGCCAGCAGCCGCGGUAAGACAGAGGAUGCAAGCGUUAUCCGGAAUGAUUGGGCGUAAAGCGUCUGUAGGUUGUUUAAAAAGUAUUCUGUCAAAGAUUAGGGCUUAACUCUAGAUAGGCAGAAUAAACUUUUAAGCUAGAGUUUGGUAGAGGCAGAGGGAAUUCCCGGUGGAGCGGUGAAAUGCGUAGAGAUCGGAAGGAACACCAAAGGCGAAGGCACUCUGCUGGGCCAAUACUAACACUGAGAGACGAAAGCGAGGGGAGCAAAUGGGAUUAGAUACCCGGGUAGUCC